rnacentral:rRNA from 1 species
GAGUUUGAUCCUGGCUCAGGACGAACGCUGGCGGCGUGCUUAACACAUGCAAGUCGAGCGAGGCCCUUCUCUUCGGAGAGGGUGCCCUAGCGGCGAACGGGUGAGUAACACGUGGGCAAUCUGCCCCUAGCACUGGGAUAACUCCGGGAAACCGGGGCUAAUACCGGAUAUGACCUUCGAAGGCAUCUUCGUUGGUGUAAAGGAUUCUGGCUAGGGAUGAGCCCGCGGCCUAUCAGCUUGUUGGUGAGGUAACGGCCCACCAAGGCGACGACGGGUAGCCGGCCUGAGAGGGCGACCGGCCACACUGGGACUGAGACACGGCCCAGACUCCUACGGGAGGCAGCAGUGGGGAAUAUUGCACAAUGGGCGAAAGCCUGAUGCAGCGACGCCGCGUGAGGGAUGACUGCCUUCGGGUUGUAAACCUCUUUCAGCUCCGACGAAGCGAAAGUGACGGUAGGAGCAGAAGAAGCACCGGCCAACUACGUGCCAGCAGCCGCGGUAAUACGUAGGGUGCAAGCGUUGUCCGGUAUUAUUGGGCGUAAAGAGCUCGUAGGCGGCUUGUCGCGUCGGCUGUGAAAACCUGGGGCUCAACCCCGGGCCUGCAGCCGAUACGGGCAAGCUAGAGUUCGGUAGGGGAGACUGGAAUUCCUGGUGUAGCGGUGAAAUGCGCAGAUAUCAGGAGGAACACCGGUGGCGAAGGCGGGUCUCUGGGCCGAUACUGACGCUGAGGAGCGAAAGCGUGGGGAGCGAACGGGAUUAGAUACCCUGGUAGUCCACGCCGUAAACGUUGGGCGCUAGGUGUGGGCCACAUUCCACGUGGUCUGUGCCGUAGCUAACGCAUUAAGCGCCCCGCCUGGGGAGUACGGCCGCAAGGCUAAAACUCAAAGGAAUUGACGG